UCCGGUUUAACACCGGCAGUCUCCUUAGAGUUCCCGGCUUUACCCGCUGGUAACUAAGGACAAGGGUUUCGCUCGUUAAGCGACUUAACGCGACAUCUCACGACACGAGCUGACGACAGCCAUGCAGCACCUGUGCUAAGGCUCCCUUGCGGGCACCCCUCCUUUUCGGGAGGGUUCCAAAGCAUGUCAAGACUAGGAUAAGGUUCUUCGCGUAGCCUCGAAUUAAGCCACAUCCUCCACCGCUUGUGUGAGCCCCCGUCAAUUCCUUUGAGUUUUAGCCUUGCGGCCGUACUCCCCAGGCGGGGAACUUAAUGCGUUAGCUGCGACACAGAAACCGUGGAAUGGUCCCUACAUCUAGUUCCCAACGUUUACGGCAUGGACUAC
rnacentral:misc_RNA from 1 species